rnacentral:ncRNA from 1 species
CUACGGACUUAAGUAAAUUGAGCCUUGAUGGAGAAAUCUGUCAAGUGGAUGCUCUCAAAUUCAGGGAAACCUACGUCUGAAAACAGAUAAGGCAAUCCUGAGCCAAGCCGAUAAAAGAGUGGAGUUAUGGGUUAAACCAACUAACUCAAAACCAGGCUCACUGGAGCGAAGCGACAGGUCAAAACCAUGUCCUAGAGCGAAGCGAAGGAUCGGAAGGUGCAGAGACUCGACGGGAGCUACCCUAACGUAAAGCCGAGGGUAAAGGGAGAGUCCAAUUCUCAGAUGCUAGUGAAG